rnacentral:sRNA from 1 species
CAGGGAAAAGCAGCCCCUCGACACAUACCCCACUCCCUUAGCCUUUAUCCUGCCCUCCUCCCUUCCCAAGUAAAUGAGUCUCAACGUGUUCUUUAAAGCGGACGCAACAGAGAAAGACUUGUCAGACCUGAUCUCAGAAAUGGAGAUGAUGAAGAUGAUCGGGAAGCAUAAGAAUAUCAUCAACCUGCUGGGGGCCUGCACGCAGGAUGGUCCCUUGUAUGUCAUCGUGGAGUAUGCCUCCAAGGGCAACCUGCGGGAGUACCUGCAGGCCCGGAGGCCCCCAGGGCUGGAAUACUGCUACAACCCCAGCCACAACCCAGAGGAGCAGCUCUCCUCCAAGGACCUGGUGUCCUGCGCCUACCAGGUGGCCCGAGGCAUGGAGUAUCUGGCCUCCAAGAAGUGCAUACACCGAGACCUGGCAGCCAGGAAUGUCCUGGUGACAGAGGACAAUGUGAUGAAGAUAGCAGACUUUGGCCUCGCACGGGACAUUCACCACAUCGACUACUAUAAAAAGACAACCAACGGCCGACUGCCUGUGAA